rnacentral:rRNA from 1 species
AGAUCAGUGCUGAAAGCAUCUAAGCACGAAACUUGCCCCGAGAUGAGUUCUCCCUGAGACUUUAAGUCUCCUGAAGGAACGUUAAAGACGAUGACGUUGAUAGGCCGGGUGUGUAAGCGCAGCGAUGCGUUGAGCUAACCGGUACUAAUGAACCGUGAGGCUUAACCUUACAACGCCGAAG